rnacentral:rRNA from 1 species
UACGUAGGUGGCAAGCGUUGUCCGGAAUUAUUGGGCGUCAAGCGCGCGCCGGCGGUUCUUUUAGUCUGGUGUGAAAGCCCACGGCUCAACCGUGGAGGGUCAUUGGAAACUGGAGAACUUGAGUACAGAAGAGAAAAGCGGAAUUCCACGUGUAGCGGUGAAAUGCGUAGAGAUGUGGAGGAACACCAGUGGCGAAGGCGGCUUUCUGGUCUGUAACUGACGCUGAGGCGCGAAAGCGUGGGGAGCAAACAGG